rnacentral:lncRNA from 1 species
CUGGCUUACCCGAGCGGACAACUCGAGCCGAGGGGGGCUGUGUAUCGGUAAACAAAAGAUCAUCUGAUUUUGCAACUUGUCCAAACCUCGUUCUAUUUGGAAUAGGACACUAAUAGAAAGAAGUCGCGACCAGCGUGCACUCCUCAAGAAAGAGAAGAGAGGGAUUUCGUAGCAGUUUAUAUAUACAGUUCAGAUAAUAUCAAAGCGGUAAAAGAAACAUUUAGCACAUUAGGCCCAAACAUGUAAUAAAAUAAGAUAAUAAACAAAGCCAGAUAUAACGAUUAUUAUAAGCUCGAAUUCUGAACCCUGAACCAAAAGUUCUAGGUUCUUGUCCUCAGUAAAGUCGCUAGAGUUGUCACACUUCCUUUUUACCUACACCCUCGAGGGGGUAUAUAAGGGAGUUUUUCCAACUUAAAGUGACAAUCGAAACGGGAUUUAUUUAUUUAAAAUCAUUCAGAGUCACCACUUGGGAUAAUUAUGGUGUCCCAAGUCACCGGUUCAAAUCCCGAGUCGAGGAAAAGGUUGACUCUAUAUUACAGUCUGUGAACACAGAAAUCCAGGUAAGGAAUUCUGUUAAUCCGGGAGAAGGUGUUAGGCAUUCCCGAGUUCCGUGGUUCUAGCACGGUCGCUCAACUGUUAUAAUUGGCAUAUUAUCUGAUUUUAGUACAUGUUUAAACCUAUGUGCAAAUUUUAACUUAAACCGCUUUUAUUCAUUUUUUAAAGAAAAUUGCAACGUUAUUAAAACACGUCUCGAACCACGUCACAUAAAUGCACCUGUGAUUUUGACAUAUUUUAACAUCGUUGAGAUUUGGCUUUGGGUCACAUAAAUGUGCACCCGAAUUUAAGAAUGUAAUAUUAUUAAACUAACGCGCCUAAAGCAAUUACGAAUUUACAACUUUGCGAGUGCCAUGGAAAAUUCGCUAAAUCGCGCGCCUUGAUUUCUAAAAAAUAAACAAGUUAAUUAAACGAGGGCCGUGCAUUUAAGACUUUUGUUUGUCACGGCACACCUCGAAUUUCCAUACAAAAUGUGUGCCAAUAAACCAAUAACGAGCAUCACCAAGCAAAACAGAGUUGAGUCACUGAAACUUGAUACACGAACUUCAAACAAGAAUAAUAGGGAAUUGUGGAAAAAAAAAAUAAUGGCACACCAGUUGAUCUCCAAUUUUCUCACUACUGCACAAUCAACUAAUAGCAAAUAAUAAGCUAAGAACUAUGAGCUGCUAAUUUACAUGUAAGACACCGUACAACUUAACACAUUAAAUACUAAAAAUAAGUAAUCCAGUACGCUAAAUACUAUGCUAAAUGAAAACAAGGAAGAUAAAUUUCUUAUCACCUCAAUUUAAUAUACAUCCAAUGAUGAGUUCAAAACAGUAGCACCUAAAGUUAAUUUAAAAACCAAACUUUGAUUCAUGAGAUUCAACCAAAUGACAACAAACUUAAAUAUACUCCAAAAGAACAAUCGGCACAUGUUGUACAUUUGUUUAAGCUAAAGCAAAAGCUAAAGAUAAAGUUAAAGUUAAAGCAAAAGCAAAAGCAAAAGGGUACUAUUAUUUUAGUCGCUUUUAAUAUUUCGAGAAAAAUUCAAAGUUAUUUAAAAUACAUCGUAAGCCGCGCUACAUAAAUGCACCCGCGAUCCACAAUAUAUUUUAUCUAACGUUGAGAUUUGGAUUUGGGUCACAUAAAUGCGCACCCGAGUUUAGGAAGGUAAAUUAUUAAAUAGCACGCCUAAAGCAACUACGCGUCUUUAAAUUUGCGAGGGCCAUGGAAAUUCAACUAAAUGGCACGCCUCGAAUUCUAAGGAUUCACAUGUUAAUUAAAUGAGGGUCAUGCAUUUGAGAUUUUAUUUGGCACUCAUGUCUAGCUAAUUGAAACCAUGGUACCACCAGCUUCACUCUCAGGGGAUACAACACCUAGCUAACUUUUAUUUUUAAGGUAAUUCUAGAGCCUACAUUUUAUAGAAACUCUCACAUGUACUGAACAACUGAACCUAGUGAGUUUUUCCAAUUAAAGGACAAUCGAAAUGGGAUUUAUAUUAAAAGUUUCAGAGUCGCCACUUGGGAUAAUUUAUGGUGUCCCAAGUCACCGAUUCAAAAUUCCGAAUCGAGGAAAAGAUUGACUCUGUAUUACAGUCUGCGAACACAGAAAUCCGGGUAAGGAAUUCUGUUAACCCGGGAGAAGGUGUUAGGCAUUCCCGAGUUCCGUGGUUCUAGCACGGUCGCUCAACUAUUAUAAUUGGCAUAUUAUCUGAUUUUACUACAUGUUUAAACCUAUGUGCAAAUUUUAACUUAAACCGCUUUUAUUUAUUUUUUAAAGAAAAUUGCAACGUUAUUAAAACACGUCUCGAACCACGUCACAUAAAUGCACCCGUGAUUUUGACAUAUUUUAACAUCAUUGAGAUUUGGAUUUGGGUCACAUAAAUGCGCACCCGAAUUUAAGAAUGUAAUAUUAUUAAACUAAUGCGCCUAAAGCAAUUACGAAUUUGCAACUUUGCGAGCGCCAUGGAAAAUUCGCUAAAUCGCGCGCCUUGAUUUCUAAAAAAUAAACAAGUUAAUUAAACGAGGGUUGUGCAUUUAAUACUUUUGUUUGUCACGGCACACCUCGAAUUUCCAUACAAAAUGUGUGCCAAGAAAC